rnacentral:lncRNA from 1 species
GAGAUGCUGAGCUGAGGUUGGAUUCCGUGGGUUCUUCCAGUACACAGCUGUGAAGGGGCAGAUUCAGGUCCAGGCGGCUGCCCUCUUCCAUAAAGGAGGUCAAUGUAUUGCAGACCAAGAGAAGCUAUCUGGACCCAGAAAGGACUCUCACAAUGGCAUGACAUGAGGACAGACUUGGAGCUUAAUGCAGUAACUGAAGAGAACCGCACAGCAUAUUCGCUGGAGAAGAGUGGCGGCCCACAGAGCCAGGCGUGGAAGAGUGUGAAAGGGCUGUCAGUGCGCUGGGGAUGCAAAGGAUCCACUUGAACGCCUGGAGCUCACUGGAGUGCCCCAUCCAAGUCGAUAUCAGGAACCUGAGGGGUCUGUGCUAGAGGACUAGAGCCUGCACUGGAAGCCAGGAGAGGACAUCCAAGGUGAAGGGGAAGGCAGGCGCUCUCCCGAAAAAACAGAGCCUCCUGGAAGAGUGUACAGCACCAAGGCGACCUUCAUCCGUCUCUACAGCGCUCCUCUCCUGCACCCCCUGGCACUUGGCACUGCAAAUGCAUCACCUCAAUCCGAACAGACUGUGUUCUUUGUUUCUCAACUCAGUGAAGCUGGGCUCCUCUCAC